rnacentral:rRNA from 1 species
GUCUACGGCCAUGCCGCCCUGAACAAGCCCGAUAUCUGAUCUCGUAAGCUAACAGAGUCGGGCCUGGUUAGUACUUGGAUGGGAGACCACCUAGGAAGACCACCUGCUGUAGGCA